rnacentral:rRNA from 1 species
UCCGAAGGGGGCUAGCGUUGUUCGGAAUCACUGGGCGUAAAGGGCGCGUAGGCGGCUUUAUAAGUCGGGGGUGAAAGCCUGUGGCUCAACCACAGAAUUGCCUUCGAUACUGUAGAGCUUGAGACCGGAAGAGGUAAGUGGAACUGCGAGUGUAGAGGUGAAAUUCGUAGAUAUUCGCAAGAACACCAGUGGCGAAGGCGGCUUACUGGUCCGGUUCUGACGCUGAGGCGCGAAAGCGUGGGGAGCAAACAGG